CGGCGGCGUGAUGACGCAUUUCCGGCCGGUGAUCUUUAAAACCCGGGGGUUGCAGCUGGGGAGGGUAGGUGUGGUGUGGUCGUUUGCUCUGCGUGGUGUGGCCGCGUGCAGCCCCUGGUCCCGAAAUUUUUAAACCUGUAUUUUUCUACUGGCCUGAAAGAUUUUUAUGAUGGAAAAUAUCUCUGUAAAAGCAGAGCCUAAGGGUUUCGAAGAUGUGGCUGUGUACUUCACAGAGCAGGAGCUGGCCAGCCUGGCACUGAAUCAGAAGACCCUGUACAGGGACGUGGUGCUUGAGAACUUUGCCCAUGUGGCUUUUCUAGGGUACAUCUCAAAGCUAAGAAAAUACGCUCUAAUGGCUGAAGCAGAGUCGUCCAGAGUGAAGGCGUUCCUCUAAGUCAGGUGCUGAAGACAGCAGUAAGGGAGGCGAGGUCUGAGCCGUGUCCCUGCUGCCAAGUGCACCGUUUUCUGUGGUCCUGCAUAUCUCCAUCCAAGUAGAUGGAGGGCUUUUAGUUCAUUAAAGUUGUUGAUUAUGACAGGCAAA